rnacentral:rRNA from 1 species
GACGAACGCUGGCGGCGUGCUUAACACAUGCAAGUCGAACGGAAAGGCCUGCUUUCCCUUGUGGAUUGCGGGUACUCGAGUGGCGAACGGGUGAGUAACACGUGAGUGAUCUGCCCCCAACUUGGGUAUAAGCCUGGGAAACUGGGUCUAAUUCCCGAUAGGACUGCAGGGUGGUGCCUGUGGUGGAAAACGAUUUUCUAGUGGGUGGGGAUGAGCUCGCGGCCUAUCAGCUUGUUGGUGGGGUAAUGGCCUACCAAGGCGGCGACGGGUAGCCGGCCUGAGAGGGUGGACGGCCCCAUUGGGACUGAGAUACGGCCCAGACUCCUACGGGAGGCAGCAGUGGGGAAUAUUGCACAAUGGGCGGAAGCCUGAUGCAGCGACGCCGCGUGGGGGAUGACGGCCUUCGGGUUGUAAACUCCUUUCGACCGCGAGGAAGCCACCUGGUUGGAAGGGUGGUGACGGUAGUGGUAGAAGAAGCACCGGCUAACUACGUG